GCUGCACAGUCAGGGGUCGUCCUGGGUUCCUGCUGUGUGCACGCGGACAGCAGGAACAGGGCAGAGCCCCUGCUGGGACACCUGCUAUUGUGCGUCAUUUUUACAUGAAUGAAAUGGCCAUUUGGGUGACUUGGGGUGGCGCCUGCCCUACAGUAAUCUCCCCCUUUUCUUGGCUUGGUUUGCUCUUGCCUCCUGGGGGUGUUUAUUCGCAAGGCCGUGAGGUCGCCUGCCCUCAGCGCACCAGCAGCGCUGGGCACUGCGCGCCCAGGUCCUGCGCCCAGGGUGGUCCUUCACCUUCCUUAGGCUGCGGCGCCCGGGACAAACGUGUUCAUUUCACCUCUUCUGGUUCCCGCCCUGGCAGCGGUGGGCUGCUUCCAGGACCCUCUUCCUGCUGGCCACUCAAUAGGACCUCACUGUGACCACGAGGCCCCCUCCCCCCAGAUGAAGAAAGCGGACAGAGGCACAGAGACCCAGACACAGAGGGAAGAAGGCCGUGUGAAGAUGGGGCAGAGCUGUGGCGAUGCUGCCACCAACCAUGACACCCGGGGCCACUGGAAGUCGGAAGAGAUCAACUUCCACGCAAGCAUCAUUGUUUACGAAGCCCGCCGGCCUCCGCCACAGAAGCAGCACAGAGUGAUUGAGAAGUCUCAGGCUGGGGUUCCGCCACUUGGGGAGCCUGUCCCACUGCAGGCUGGCCACGUGGCCUUCGGAGAAUCACCUCCCCAUCUACACCCAGCAUCUUCCCCUGUGAAUGGGGAUAAAGAUUGUGUUUUGAGGACUGAAGGAGGUCAUACGUGUCAGGGACUUGCAGCAGUGUCUGGCAUACAGAGGAUCCCAUCAAGGUCAUCUACAAGAGGGACAUAAUUAGGCAGAGCCGGUGUAACACACACCUUCACUCACACGUGCAUAUGUGUGGGGGUCGACGGGGAGACGAGGGAGGGGCAGACCCAUCUACAAAGAUCUUUGAUCCUUCAGAGCCAGCACUAAUCCAGUGAAACAAGACCUAUGUGGAUGUUACCUCUGCUCUGCAUUUUACUCCACCUCAGUGGAAGUUUGUUAAAAAAAAAAAAAAUCAACUGAGCAAAUUUUAAAGGGCUUAUUGGCCUCACU
rnacentral:lncRNA from 1 species